UCUUAUAUCUAUUGCAUCGUUCUGGAUCCUGUCUCAUAGCUACAUAAGAAAAGACAAAAAAAACAAAUGAACACUGAAAUCGAGAUAAGAAACGUACCCAAUACAGAGAUCAGCCGAGAGCA
rnacentral:sRNA from 1 species